rnacentral:lncRNA from 1 species
GUUUGAUUUAAGAGACUUCCAAAAUCUAGACCCAGGCACAACGUUUACCUCAUUUCCUAGGCAGGUUUCAAGUUUGCAGGUCUUGGUGUGGACAGAAAAAUCCAUCGCAUGUAGCUGCAAUUACACUGGGACUCAGAAGAUUAGAAGAUGCUUUGCUCUCCUGCUCCUGCUUGCUAGAAUGGAAGAGGUCAUCUAUUUUUAAAGUACUUGGCAGAGGCCAUACCAUCUCUAUUUGUGUCAAUUCCCAGCAGACCAGCACAGGCACUGCAGAUGCGAUACAUCGAGUUCAUCACUGUCUGCUCCUCAUGGCAUGGCCAGAUCAUCAGGUUAUCUUCUACUUGCCUGUUUCCAUGGAAGUCAGCUCUCUUUGGGAUGGCUUACUUCAGCUUCAGCAGCUUUCCAGACCGCAUCUGGGGGUUAACACACCACUUCCACUGAGUGUCACCUUCUUGGAGCAGGAAUAUGAUUUGUAAUGGGACAUCUGAAGGAAGUGAAGGCUCCUGUCUAAGCUCAGGAAAGCAGUUGUGUAUAUAAUUCAGGAGAUCUGUAUGAAGCAGACCAGCAGAGUUUAGGCUGGCAUCAAGAGCAAGAAGGACAGACAGCCCAAUACAUUAUGGCUGCUGAUGAGCGGGACAGACAGGCAUCCUGGAGGUUUGGAGGACGUCUGUACUGAUCAGUGACAUUCGUGGGUCUUCUUAGCAGCUGCUGCCUCCGGUGUUCUUUCAGCUUCCUGUUAACCCAGAAGAGUGGGAGAUGAGACCUUGGUGUUCUGAUACAGGUCUGUGCCUCUAUGCCUUAACUCAAAGGCAGAUGGUUAAAAAAAAAAAUGAGAGCAUGCAGCUCUCAUCUCUGAGAAUAACAGCACUCCGGCUGAAUGUUGGG